rnacentral:SRP_RNA from 1 species
GCUGGGCUUGGUGGUGCGCGCCUGUAAUCCCAGCUACUCAGGAGGCUGAGACAAGAGAAUUGCUUGAACCCGGGAGGCGGAGGUUGCAGUGAGCCAAGAUAGAGCCACUGUACUCCAGCCUGGGUGACAGAGCGAGAUUCUGUCUCAA